rnacentral:tRNA from 1 species
AUACUUAUGGCUUAGUGGUUAAGGCUUUAGUCUUAUAAGUGAAAUGUUUGAGGUUCCAUUCCCACUAGAUGUA